rnacentral:tRNA from 3 species
GGGCCACUAGCUCAGUUGGUUAGAGCACUCGGCUCAUAACCGAAUGGUCCGGGGUUCGAGUCCCUGGUGGCCCACCA